UUUCCGUAGGUGAACCUGCGGAAGGAUCAUUAUUGUAUAACCGAGGUGCGAGGGCUUUCUCUAACCCUAAAGCUCGUGCACGCCCGAGGGCCCUCACACACAGUGAUCUCACCCCUAAGUACACCACCGCGUGGGUCCCGCUGUUGCUUGUGCGGGUGGGGGCUUACGUUUUAACACUAACUUCAUAGGAAGUGUUGAAUGUAUUAUUGGUUUUGGCGGUCACGCAACCAAUAAAACUUUGAACAACGGAUCUUAUGGCUCUUGCAUCGAGGAAGAACG
rnacentral:misc_RNA from 1 species